AACGCAUCCUCAUCAUCAUCAGUUCGAACUAGAGGUCCGAAUUUGGGACAUCCUAUCCCAUCAAAUCCGUCUGAUCGACAAUUGAUUAGAUUGAAAGGAACUGUGUAAGUCAUAUACAACUUUUUGCUAUUGAUUUAAUAUGUAUUAUUACUUACAACUACUCAUUAUAUAUAAAAAUAUUGCAGUUUUUUAGAUUCCACAGUUACUAGAUCAAUCACUAAUGACAUUAAGAUGCGCUAUACUGCUCCAUGGAAAACUUGGUCAGAAAUACCUUUAAAGACAAAAGACGAG
rnacentral:lncRNA from 1 species